rnacentral:rRNA from 1 species
GCGUAAAGAGCUCGUAGGUGGUUUGUCGCGUUGUUCGUGAAAUCUCACGGCUUAACUGUGAGCGUGCGGGCGAUACGGGCAGACUUGAGUACUGCAGGGGAGACUGGAAUUCCUGGUGUAGCGGUGGAAUGCGCAGAUAUCAGGAGGAACACCGAUGGCGAAGGCGGGUCUCUGGGCAGUAACUGACGCUGAGGAGCGAAAGCGUGGGGAGCGAACAGGAUUAGAUACCCUGGUAGUCCACGCCGUAAACGGCGGGUACUAGGUGUGGGUUUCCUUCCUUGGGAUCCGUGCCGUAGCUAACGCAUUAAGUACCCCGCCUGGGGAGUACGGCCGCAAGGGCUAAAACUCAAAGAAAUUGACGGGGGCCCGCACAAGCGGCGGAGCAUGUGGAUUAAUUCGAUGCAACGCGAAGAACCUUACCUGGGUUUGACAUGCACAGGACGCCGGCAGAGAUGUCGGUUCCCUUGUGGCCUGUGUGCAGGUGGUGCAUGGCUGUCGUCAGCUCGUGUCGUGAGAUGUUGGGUUAAGUCCCGCAACGAGCGCAACCCUUGUCUCAUGUUGCCAGCGGGUAAUGCCGGGGACUCGUGAGAGACUGCCGGGGUCAACUCGGAGGAAGGUGGGGAUGACGUCAAGUCAUCAUGCCCCUUAUGUCCAGGGCUUCACACAUGCUACAAUGGCCGGUACAAAGGGCUGCGAUGCCGCGAGGUUAAGCGAAUCCUUUUAAAGCCGGUCUCAGUUCGGAUCGGGGUCUGCAACUCGACCCCGUGAAGUCGGAGUCGCUAGUAAUCGCAGAUCAGCAACGCUGCGGUGA